rnacentral:other from 1 species
AGUCCCAAUAUUGCAUCCAACAGGAUUUGGAAUUUCUAGAGAAUUGCCGUCCCAUAAACCAGAAAACAGCUUUGCUUUGCAUUCCGUCUCUUAGAUUCCCAUUUUAUUGACUUCCAGAGAAACUUGAGAAAGUC